ensembl:rRNA 5S_rRNA 5S ribosomal RNA
GCUUACGGCCAUACCAACCUGGCUAUGCCCGAUCUCGUCUGAUCUCAGAAGCUAAGCAGGUUUGGGCCUGGUUAGUACUUGGAUGGGAGACCGCCUGGGAAUACCAGGUGCUGUAAGCU